UCCCAAUGGGUUGGAGAUCAGCAUAUACAAUCUCAUUGUUCCUGGUUGUCUGGAAAGAUAAAGAAAAAAGGCCUUGGCCUGCCUCAUUAGAUGACUUUGGGCAUUGGAAGAGAUGGUCUCAACCUAGGGAGUUUAGAAGACUUGUCCAAGAUCACAUAGACAUUGAAUGUCAAAGGGGCAGAUGACCUCCCUCCAUGGUUUGAAGUAAAAGGUAAAAUCUUGCUCUCUUUUCUUGAGAGUGGGGAGGUGCAGUGACAAGGUGUUAAUUCUCCCUCUCCACCUUUGUCAGACAGGGGUGGGCCUCCUGAGGAUGGAGCCUGGAGAAGCAUGUGUCCAGGCUAGGGUGUUGAGGCCUUGGGUCAAGGAUUUUGGGAAAUGUAUUGGGCCCAGUGGUAGAAACUUUUUCCUGGGAAGAAGGCAGGCAUGUUAAGGAAAAAGCAAACUCCUUGUUAGGGUGGGGUACCCCAGCACCCGAGACAU